AGAGUUUGAUCCUGGCUCAGGACGAACGCUGGCGGCGUGCCUAACACAUGCAAGUCGAGCGAUGAAAUUCCUUCGGGAAAUGGAUUAGCGGCGGACGGGUGAGUAACACGUGGGUAACCUGCCUCAUAGAGGGGAAUAGCCUUUCGAAAGGAAGAUUAAUACCGCAUAAGAUUGUAGUACCGCAUGGUACAGCAAUUAAAGGAGUAAUCCGCUAUGAGAUGGGCCCGCGGCGCAUUAGCUAGUUGGUGAGGUAACGGGCUCACCAAGGCGACGAUGCGUAGCCGACCUGAGAGGGUGAUCGGCCACAUUGGGACUAAGACACGGCCCAGACUCCUACGGGAGGCAGCAGUGGGGAAUAUUGCACAAUGGGGGAAACCCUGAUGCAGCAACGCCGCGUGAGUGAUGACGGCCUUCGGGUUGUAAAGCUCUGUCUUCAGGGACGAUAAUGACGGUACCUGAGGAGGAAGCCACGGCUAACUACGUG
rnacentral:rRNA from 1 species